rfam:Gossypium raimondii chromosome 10, whole genome shotgun sequence.
AACCCAUGGUGAGGGUACCUUAUCAAUAAAUUUUUAUUCCUCUCUCAUGCAUCAUAUAACGUCUCUAAAUCAAUUUGCACAAAGGAAGAGAUGUCAUUCCUCAACUU